UACGUAGGGUGCAAGCGUUGUCCGGAAUUAUUGGGCGUAAAGAGCUCGUAGGCGGUUUGUCGCGUCGGCUGUGAAAACCUAGGGCUCAACUCUGGGCUUGCAGCCGAUACGGGCAAACUAGAAUUCGGUAGGGGAGACUGGAAUUCCUGAUGUAGCGGUGAAAUGCGCAGAUAUCAGGAGGAACACCCGUGGCGAAGGCGGCUUCCUGGCCUGUAACUGACGCUGAGACGCGAAAGCGUGGGGAGCGAACCGG
rnacentral:rRNA from 1 species